UAAUAUAAUGGAAGUAUGAAGGGUUUUGAUCUCUUCUGUGUAGGUUCGAUUCCUAC
rnacentral:tRNA from 1 species